rnacentral:rRNA from 1 species
UACGUAGGGUGCGAGCGUUAAUCGGAAUUACUGGGCGUAAAGCGUGCGCAGGCGGUUUUGUAAGCCAGAUGUGAAAGCCCCGGGCUUAACCUGGGAAUGGCAUUUGGGACUGCAAGGCUUGAGUGCGGCAGAGGAGACUGGAAUUCCUGGUGUAGCAGUGAAAUGCGUAGAUAUCAGGAGGAAUACCGAUGGCGAAGGCAGGUCUCUGGGCUGACACUGACGCUCAUGCACGAAAGCGUGGGGAGCAAACGAGGA